AUUGAACGCUGGCGGCAGGCUUAACACAUGCAAGUCGAACGAGUCGCGGACGGGUGAGUACUGCUUGGGAAUCUAGCUUAUGGAAGGGGAUCACUACGGGAAACUGUAGCUCAUACCGCGUACCAUAGGAUGAGCCCCAGUGGGUUUAGGUAGUUGGUGAGGUAAAGGCUCACCAAGCCGACGAUCUCUAGCUGGUCUGAGAGGAUUACCAGCCACACUGGGACUGAGACACGGCCCAGACUCCUACGGGAGGCAGCAGGGGGGAAUAUUGCGCAAUGGGGGCAACCUGACGCAGCCAUGCCGCGGGAAUGAAGAAGGCCUUCGGGUUGUAAAGUUCUUUCGGUAGCGAGGCGUUAACUACAGAAGAAGCACCGGCUAACGCCGUGCCAGCAGCCGCGGUAAUUC
rnacentral:rRNA from 1 species